rnacentral:rRNA from 1 species
AGCUUGCUCCCCGCUGACGAGCGGCGGACGGGUGAGUAAUGCAUAGGAAACUGCCCAGUAGUGGGGGAUAGCCCGGGGAAACCCGGAUUAAUACCGCAUACGCCCUUUGGGGGAAAGCAGGGGAUCUUCGGACCUUGCGCUAUUGGAUGUGCCUAUGUCGGAUUAGCUAGUUGGUGGGGUAAGAGCCUACCAAGGCGACGAUCCGUAGCUGGUCUGAGAGGAUGAUCAGCCACAUCGGGACUGAGACACGGCCCGAACUCCUACGGGAGGCAGCAGUGGGGAAUAUUGGACAAUGGGGGCAACCCUGAUCCAGCCAUGCCGCGUGUGUGAAGAAGGCUUUCGGGUUGUAAAGCACUUUCAGUGAGGAGGAAAACCUUACGACUAAUACUCGUGAGGCUUGACGUUACUCACAGAAGAAGCACCGGCUAACUCCGUGCCAGCAGCCGCGGUAAUACGGAGGGUGCAAGCGUUAAUCGGAAUUACUGGGCGUAAAGCGCGCGUAGGUGGUUUGAUAAGCGAGAUGUGAAAGCCCCGGGCUCAACCUGGGAACGGCAUUUCGAACUGUCAGGCUAGAGUAUGGUAGAGGAGUGUGGAAUUUCCUGUGUAGCGGUGAAAUGCGUAGAUAUAGGAAGGAACACCAGUGGC